ACCAUAACAACGAUGGCGGGUGUGUUGAGACUGGACGAGAAUGACUUUAUUUUGGUCUGUAAGGAGCUUGCUCUCUUUUCUAAAACUUAUCUCUGGGCGGUGAACAGAAGACCGCGCGCUCCCGUUAAGCCCUUUGUGCCCCGGGGAAGCCAUACUUGAAGUCUGAAUGAGACGUCACAAAAGAGAAACAGCAGGCAGUAUAAACCCAGGUGGACAACUUUGAGGACGUUUGGCAGCACAAUAUAAAGAUUGCUGUUGUUGGUGCUUCCUACGCUGAAGAUCCUGUUGAUGUCUCUCUUAUUCUUGACGGCAAGGAGGUUGUGACUGGAUGUGGAAAUACUGCAAAGGCAUGUACACUGCUAAUGGGUCUGAUAUAUUCCCUCAAUCUUGCUUAUCCUCCAACACUGCGUUACACUUUUGAAGUGUUCCAGAAGCUUUUCUUAGAUUUAGACGCAAUAAAGCUAUCCCCCAAAGUACAAACUCUGAAAAUGAAGUUGCUGUCCAAAACUUAAAAGAUGACAUUUUAUUCAGCUUUGUUCAGCUUGGUAUGCCUUUGCCAUUAUAGCAGUUUAUGCUAUAAAGUUGUAUUGUUAUUGUGUAACUCUUGCACAUGCUUCAAAGUCGUUAAUUGUUCAUGAAUGUUAAUACAGCUGCAAAACUUAUGCAGCCAUUUCUCACAGCUGUGCCUUCAGAAAGGACUUAUAUAGAUAAUAGUAUGACAACAAGAAUUGCUGAUUUGUUGUUUUUUUUUUUCAAGUGUAAAACUUGGACAAAAAAGGCUGUCAAUAAAACAAAGUUGUUAAAUAUUGUCAUUUUUAUAUUAUUGAUUUUUCAUAUUUUCUGUAUACACUUUAACAAAACUAGUAGUUAUUACUCAAAUGUAGUGCUUAAAAAUUAUUUUGUAAUAAGAAUAAAUAUAGUGAUACAACGAAUAAAAUAUAAAUAACAUUUAUUAAAUUAAUUCAUU
ensembl:lncRNA